rnacentral:misc_RNA from 1 species
CGGAAUCAAUGUCAAAAGGUUCCUCAGAAGGCUCAUAAUUCUUCAAACUUGUUUCUAGAUUGAUCAGUGGGACAUCCAGCGAGCCAAAAAGAAAGUCGGUGACAUCCUUCUCAGUUUCGGUAACUGUAUCAUCACCUCCUAGAGUUUUUAAAUAUAGGGUGGCCCUAUCUCGAACCUCAUCGUCAUUGUCAAAGAGACAUCGUCUCAACAGAACAAAUAUUCG